rnacentral:rRNA from 1 species
CUUAGGGAAACCGAUAAGUAUCCCACCUGGGGAGUACGCCGGCAACGGUGAAACUCAAAGGAAUUGACGGGGGCCCGCACAAGUGGUGGAGCAUGUGGUUUAAUUCGAUGAUACGCGAGGAACCUUACCUAGGCUAGAAUGCGCGUGACCGGCUCAGAGAUGAGCCUUUCCUUCGGGACACAAAGCAAGGUGCUGCAUGGCCGUCGUCGGCUCGUGCCGUGAGGUGUUGGGUUAAGUCCCGCAACGAGCGCAACCCCUAUGGUUAGUUGCCAGCACGUAAUGGUGGGGACUCUAGCCAGACUGCCUGCGCAAGCAGUGAGGAAGGCGGGGACGACGUCAGGUCAUCAUGGCCCUUACGCCUAGGGCGACACACGUGCUACAAUGGACGGUACAGCGGGUAGCUACCAGGCGACUGGAUGCCAAUCUCGAAAAGCCGUUCUCAGUUCGGAUUGGAGUCUGCAACUCGACUCCAUGAAGCUGGAAUCACUAGUAAUCGCGCAUCAGCCAUGGCGCGGUGAAUACGUUCCCGGGCCUUGUACACACCGCCCGUCAAGCCAUGAAAGUCUGGUAGACCUGAAGCUGGUGCUCGUCACAGAAGCCAGUUAGGGUAGAACAGGUAAUUAGGGCUAA